UUCCGUAGGGUGACCUGCGGAGGGAUCAUUACCGAGUUUACAACUCCCAAACCCAUGUGAACAUACCUAUUGUUGCUUCGGCGGGAUUGCCCCGGGCGCCCCGUGUGCCCCGGAUCAGGCGCCCGCCUAGGAAACUUAACUCUUGUUUUAUUUUGGAAUCUUCUGAGUAGUUUUUACAAAUAAAUAAAAACUUUCAACAACGGAUCUCUUGGUUCUGGCAUCGAUGAAGAACGCAGCGAAAUGCGAUAAGUAAUGUGAAUUGCAGAAUUCAGUGAAUCAUCGAAUCUUUGAACGCACAUUGCGCCCGCCAGUAUUCUGGCGGGCAUGCCUGUCUGAGCGUCAUUUCAACCCUCAUGCCCCUAGGGCGUGGUGUUGGGGAUCGGCCAAAGCCCGCGAGGGACGGCCGGCCCCUAAAUCUAGUGGCGGACCCGUCGUGGCCUCCUCUGCGAAGUAGUGAUAUUCCGCAUCGGAGAGCGACGAGCCCCUGCCGUUAAACCCCCAACUUUCCAAGGUUGACCUCAGAUCAGGUAGGAAUACCCGCUGAACUUAAGCAUAUCAAUAAGCCGGAGG
rnacentral:rRNA from 1 species